rnacentral:rRNA from 1 species
GACUUAUUGAGCAGAGCGUACCGGAUGGAAGUGCCAUCGCUCAACGGAUAAAAGCUACCCCGGCGAUAACAGGCGUAUCUCCCCCAAGAGUCCACGUCGACAGAGGUGUUUGGCGCUUCGAUGUCGGCUCAACGCAUCCUGGGGCUGUAGUAGGUCCCAAGGGUUGGGCUGUUCGCCCAUUAAAGCGGUACGCGAACUGGGUUCAGAACGUCGUGAGACAGUUCGGUCCCUAUCCGUCGUGCGCGUAGGAAAUUUGAGAGGAGCUGUCCUUAGUACGGGAGGACCGGGAUGGAAAUACCU